UUUUUUUUUUUUUUUUUCUUUUUCUCUCAUUAGGGCCGUACCUGUGGCAUAUGUAAGUUCUCAGCUCAAAUCAGAGCUAUGGCUGCCAGUCUACACCACAGCCAUAGCAACACGGGAUUUGAGCCAUAUCUGUGACCCACACCACCACAGCUCGUGGCAACACUGGAUUCUUAACUCACUGGGUGAGUGGGUUAAGACAGACUGAAUCCGCGUCCUCAUGGUUACUAGUUGGGUACUUAACCCACUGAGCAACAGGAACGCCCCAGAUUCUGUAUUUUAAAAAGCACAGCACAGUGUUGCUGUGGCUGUGGUGUAGGCCAGCAGCUGUAGCUCCAACUGGAUCCUAGCCUGGGAACCUCCAAAUGCUGCGGGUGCGGCCCUAAAAAAAAGCACAGCACAUUGGGAUGUCUCCUGGCCCCACCACUGCUGGCAUCAGGGAACCAGUGAUUUGAGUCGGAGGGCCUAAGGUCAGUGAUGAGCUGAGGCUGGCUUGUCCCAGCUCACAAGAGCUGACUGCUGAAUUUUCAGGCAUCAUGCAAACCGUUAUCAAAAGUUAUAUAAGUUUACUAUUAAAUAAAUUAUAUCAAAACCAAAGCUAAUACUCAAAGCUCAUCAUGUCCUACUCACUCACCACAUUUUACUAUUAUCUGUGUUCUUGAGGUUUUCACAUCUGUUGUAUAUGGAGUGGUGGGAAAUGCUAUGUAAUGGUCUACGGCCAUGCAUCUCUUCCCAAGUCCAUGCUCAGGGAGAUCACGUUGGUAACUUGAGAUCCAAACAUUUAUACCAUGGAAAUCAGCAAACACUAAAAAUGGGGGCUUGAUUUAUUACUGAUUGUCUCUAGAUAUAAGAAAAUGAUGGAAAAGUGUAAAUAAUGCAUAUUAAACUUAAAAACAUGUCAUGCCUGUAGCUAGCACAUUGUGAAUAGCACAAAAGUAGAAGAAAUAGUCUUUCAAUAUUUGAAAAUUGCCUGAUUUUAGAGAAGAUGUUACUCUCUCUUUGCUGACAAACAAGCAAAAUUCCAAAAUAUGAUGUCUUCCUUGUUUCAGCAAUCAGUUGACUAUAUCAUGUAAAGAAAACCAUCAACCAACAUUCAUGUGGGGAACGAGACUUAAAGCAUUCUUUGCGAAUCACUGCGUUGCUGUGGCUGUGGCGUAGGCCGGCAGCUGAGCUAUAUAAAAUACAUAAUAAAGGGUAUUGUAUGUUUUAUUGUUUGUGAACUUUGUAUUUUAUCGAGGUCUUACUGUAUGCAUGUACUGUAUUUAAUAGUAUAUUAAAUAAGAGCAUAUUAAAGAGAAAAUUGUAUAUUCUAUUAAAUUUGUGAGUUACAUGUAUAUUUUUUGUACAUCAGGAAAAUUUCUAGUAGACUUACAUUUCAUUAUAUAUGGAUACACACUUCUUUCUAGAGAUCCGGUUGUUAGAACAUUUACCAGCCUACCACCGCCCAAGCCAAGAACAAAAACAGGCUGGGCAGCUUCUUUGCUUUCUAUCCUACAGGUCCACACCCUUAUCUCAGCUCUUUAGUUUACCAUUCCCCUGUCGGAGAGAAACACAAAGAAUUGUAUAAGAACACAAAUCAAUAGGAAGAGAUUUUCAUGAAGAUGCAAAGCAGGUAAUUGAAUUGGCCUAAGCCAGCCCUUCCUACGGAGGAUGUCUUGCGAUCUUCCAAGCGGAGGCAAUCUUAGGCUGAUCAGACACACCCGCCAUGUGGAAAAAAAUAAGGGAGAAUCCUAACAGACAGCACGCUUGAGACCAUAACCUAAUAAAUGUCCCUCCCCUUGAACCCACAUCAAUGGCUCCUUGGGAGCGGAGGAGGGAUGGGUAGAGCUGUCAAAGUAGUGAACAAGAGGUCUGAAUCCUCUUGUCCAAUUUGGGACAUGUCUGGGGUACAUAAAGCUCAAAGAUCUCCCCCUUUCACCAAGCAGAGAAUACCAUGGUUCCUUACACAUUUUAAUACUAUCAUUGCUCAUGAUUUAAAAAUAUCUUUCUCGGAAGUUCCCAUUAUGGUGCAGUGGAACGAAUCCGACUAGUAUCCAUGAGGACGCAUAAUGGGAACUCCUUCCCCAUCCAAGUUCUUAAUGAUUCUUCUCUUAAAAAAACUAAAGAAGCAAAAGUCUACCAAAUAUCUGUUUUUAUCUGAGUACCAUGAGGCAGAAACUCCUGCUAAAGAGUCAUCCUACAAUUAAAGUGUAAUUUUUCAAUUAUGAGAAAACACAAUUGGUGCAGAUAAGGUAAACUGCUUUUGAAUGUUUACUUACGUUACUGCAAAUAUAAAUGCACAAAAAGACUUCUCUGAUCUCCUAAUAAGAGAUGAGUCAACGCUACCAUCAUAAAAAUGUUCACUUAACUACCCACCUGAAAAGGAAACUGACCUUGGAACCAUUUAGAAAAAAACACCACGUUAUGGGCUAGUCCUGACAAAAGGUUAAGUAAUACUUUUACUUGAUCGGUAUGUUCCCGAAACCAAGGCACAGAACGAGACUCCCCAAGUCCUUAAAAAAGGAAUGUGUUUGGUGAAGGUCAGACUGACACAUUUAGGGGCUGCGAGGGAUGAAGAGUGGGAGAAUCGCAGCCAGCCCGGCAUCCUACAACAUAUGAGCCUUGUGUUAUAUUUUAUGAAUUAAUCACUACAUUAGUGAUAGUAAGGAUGAGGGGUGGGAAAUGAUACACUUCAAAGAAAAACAUAGCCAAGACAAUCACAAAACGAUCUGGGGAAAAUCAAAGAGAUAUUUCUACUUACCACACUCUGGUAUCCGCACAGAAAGAACAUGUACUUUCAACCACAAAGACAUUUAUUAAGUUAAAAAAAUUUAUUAGACUUUUCUUUUUCCAUAGCUCAUUAUCUCAUAGCAAAACUAAAGUACUCUUUGGUCAUCCCCCGAUACCUUGCCCUCUAAAUAAGAACAUCGAGGUGUUUUCCUGUUGGCCCCUUAAUUAUUAAUUCACGCCAGUUACCAGCCUUCCAUGAAUCAGGUUAAAGGUCAUAAAUAUUAACAUCUAGACGACACUAAGGUUAUUGCGGCUUUAGACAGAAACUUAUUUCCGUAAUAUUCUCAUUUUUAUAGCCCUGCAGCAGGUGCGACUGAGAAGUUCAAGAAGCUGUUUUCACAUCAACAGAGAGACAUUUCCCCAGCUCAUUAAAUGGGCUAACCUCCAGGAUUACCUAUUAGAUUGCUGUUUUAAAAGAGGAAUCUCUUAUGGGGCUCUGGGACCAACCUGUCUGUCUUGAAUCCCAUCACUGCCACUGUUAGCUGUGUCAUCUUAGACAAGUUACUCAACAUGUCUUUUGUGAAAUGCUGAUAAUACUAAUACCUAUCUUACAGGGUUGUGAUGAAAACUCAUGAGUUAAUAAUACAUAUAAAACAUUGAGAACAAUGCCUGAAACGCAGUAGUUAAUUUUUUUUUUUUUUUUUUUUUUUUUUUUAACAGCCAGACCUGCAGAAUAUGGAUGUUUCCACGCCAGGGGUUGAACUGGAGCUGCAGCUGGGGCUCCAACCAUGGCAACACCAGAUCCAAGCCACAUCUGCUACCUUGUGGCAAUGCCAGAUCCUUAACCCACUAAGCAAGGCCAGGGAACAAACCUGCAUUCUCACAGAGACAAUGUUGGGAGACCAGUCCACUGAUCCACAACAGGAACUCCUACCUAUUACUAUUAUAUUACUAUAUUUUCACAGCCAGCAUGCGUAUGGUUUGAAGAAAACGUUUGAAUCUACUCAAUGGGAAUGAAGUAACUAGGUAAAUAGAAAAAUUAUAUUGAAAUAUCUAACUAUAAAACAGUAGUACUGUCAAGAACUUCUCAAAUGACGUUUUAAAAACAUUAAUUUACUUUACUGGAUUUUCCAUUUUUAAAGUUUUUCAGGAGGCUAUUCCUCCCAAUAUUUUCCAAAGCUGUCAUGACUCAUUGAGAAAACACAGAAAAGCCCUGUAC
rnacentral:lncRNA from 1 species